rnacentral:rRNA from 1 species
UUGAACUGAAGAGUUUGAUCCUGGCUCAGAUUGAACGCUGGCGGCAUGCCUUACACAUGCAAGUCGAACGGCAGCACGGGCUUCGGCCUGGUGGCGAGUGGCGAACGGGUGAGUAAUACAUCGGAACAUGUCCUGUAGUGGGGGAUAGCCCGGCGAAAGCCGGAUUAAUACCGCAUACG